AGAGUUUGAUCAUGGCUCAGGAUGAACGCUGGCGGCGUGCCUAACACAUGCAAGUCGAGCGGAGACCAUGAAGUUUCGAUGGAUUGGUUUCAGCGGCGGACGGGUGAGUAACACGUGAGUAACCUGCCUUCUUCUGGGGAAUAACACAGAGAAAUUUGUGCUAAUACCGCAUGAUGUCACGACUGGGCAUCCAGAUGUGACCAAAGGAGCAAUCCGGAGGAAGAUGGACUCGCGUCCGAUUAGGUAGUUGGUGAGGUAACGGCCCACCAAGCCUACGAUCGGUAGCCGAACUGAGAGGUUGAUCGGCCACAUUGGGACUGAGACACGGUCCGCACUCCUACGGGAGGCAGCAAUUAGGAAUCUUGCGCAAUGGGGGCAACCCUGACGCAGCGACACAGCGUGGAGGAUGAAGGUCUUCGGAUUGUAAACUCCUUUUAUAUGGGAAGAAUAAAUGACUGUACCAUAUGAAUAAGUACCUGCUAACUACGUGCCAGAAGCAUCGGUGAUGCGUAGGGUACAAACGUUAUCCGGAUUUACUGGGCGUAUAGAGAUGCGUAGGCGGUUUGAUAAGUCGUAAGUUAAAGACCUCGGCUCAACCGAGGGAGAGCUUUCGAAACUAUCAGACUUGAGACAUAGAGGGGUGA
rnacentral:rRNA from 1 species